rnacentral:rRNA from 1 species
UACGAAGGGGGCUAGCGUUGCUCGGAAUCACUGGGCGUAAAGGGUGCGUAGGCGGGUCUUUUAAGUCAGGGGGUGAAAUCCUGGAGCUCAACUCCAGAACUGCCUUUGAUACUGAAGAUCUUGAGUUCGGGAGAGGUGAGUGGAAUUCCUAGUGUAGAGGUGAAAUUCGUAGAUAUUAGGAAGAACACCUAUUGCGAAGGCAGCUCGCUGGGACGUUUACUGACGCUGAGACGCGAAAAGCGUGGGGGAGCAAACAGG